rnacentral:rRNA from 1 species
UACAGAGGGUGCUAGCGUUGUUCGGAAUCAUUGGGCGUAAAGAGCGUGUAGGCGGCCAGGUAGGUCUGCUGUGAAAACUCGAGGCUCAACCUCGAGAUGUCGGCGGAAACCAUCUGGCUAGAGUCCGGAAGAGGAGAAUGGAAUUCCCGGUGUAGCGGUGAAAUGCGCAGAUAUCGGGAAGAACACCCGUGGCGAAGGCGGUUCUCUGGGGCGGUACUGACGCUGAGACGCGAAAGCGUGGGGAGCAAACAGG